rfam:Valsa mali strain 03-8 chromosome 11, whole genome shotgun sequence.
GCGGGGAUAGCUCAGUUGGGAGAGCGUCAGACUGAAGUAAACUUCAUCGUAUAUCUGAAGGUCGUGUGUUCAAUCCACACUCACCGCA